rnacentral:pre_miRNA from 1 species
CGGGUACACCUUUUUGGGUGACAUUAGCCAAUCACAAUGCCACAAUGCUUGUGAAAGAGAGAGAAACACAAACAUUGUGGCAUUGUGAUUGGCCAAUGUCACCCAGGUAUUCU